rnacentral:sRNA from 1 species
UGGAAGUGUCCUGUUGGUCUGGUCCGAUUUUUGUGUGAGAACUCAAAUCAUCCCAGCUCGGAGGGCACUUUCUUCAGUUCGACACCCCUCCCCUCGCAGUUUCAUCGGUGGAUCGAG